rnacentral:lncRNA from 1 species
UUGUGUAAUCAUUGAUAUUUUGAGGUAAGCAUAAGUUAAUUAAAGAAGAAGUAGGAGGGGUCAAACUAUGAUAGUUAUGAAUUGAGGUAAGCUUGGUGCUAUCUCUUUGUUUCUUUGUAGUUGAAGAGUAAUGAAUAGUUUUUGAAUAAUAUGAAGUGAAAUUCUGAAAUAAAAAUGAGAUUUAAUGUUGUAUAUAAAGUAUGGAAUUUAUUGUGGAUGAAUACAAUGGAAAAUUGUAAGUGGACAAUUGGAAGUAUUAGUGAAGAAUGGAUAUGAAUGGAAGAAUUACAAUACUAAGGUUUGAGAAAGAGUCUUUGGAGUCAAGAUUUGCAUGAAGAAAAGUAGGAAGAAUGCCCAUUAAAUGUGGAGGAUUCCAGUGAUUAGACU